rnacentral:rRNA from 1 species
AAAGUUGAAAAGUACUUUGAAGAGAGAGUAAACAGUGCGUCGGACCGCUCAGAGGUAAACGGGUGGAGUUGAACUGCAAGCUCUGGGAAUUCAGCUGAUGAGUGUAUUAUGGGCUUGGCUAUGUUGGUUGGACACUGAAGUCUGCUUAGCUGCAGGUUCUUGCCUUCGGGUGAGGAUGUGCGAGGCACUUAACAGGUGUUGCACGCUUUGGUUGUUUCUCGGGCCAACUCGUCAGUGCACUUUUCCAGAGUGGUCACCACGACCGGCGCUGCUGUCUGAUUGUUGUGGCUAAACCGGCUUGGCAUUAUUUUUGUGGUUUUGUUGAGUCGGCAUGGCAGGUAGCUCGUUGGCUUGCUUGUAGAUGAUACAGGCGUUUGGCUUUCGGGUGUAAUCAGCUAGUCGCAAUGAUUCUGUACAGUGUGUCGGAGACGGCGGCUUGUUGUGUGUGCGUGCGUUCCUUUUGCUGGCAGAUUUGAGUUCGGUUGCCGUGUUGCUUGUAUUUCAAGCCCGGUGACAGCUCGUUUUUGUUCGGUGAAUGGUCGUAUGUGCCAUUGUAAAGGGCCAACAGUCUGUGGUGUAGUGGUAGACUAUCCACCUGACCCGUCUUG